AAAAGGGGGCAAUGCCAAAUAAAAGCUUAAGUUAAUAAAAACCCUUUCAGAAAACCUCUCUCAAAAAAAAAUAUAUACACUAAGUUAAAAAUUGAAGAAAUCCGAAAUCAAGUCAAAUAUCUUAGAUAGCGUGGAAAAUCAAGAGAUAAAGGUGCAGUAAGAGUUGGACAUUAGAGCUUAUAGUACGACGUUGCAACUAUUCUGAUGUGGAGGUUACAUUCGGACUUGGUAGGACAUCAUGCUUUCGAGGAUGUCUACCGCUAUAAUAUAGCUUAGAUGUAGGCUUUAGUUAGUGGAGCAUGUUCUACUAGUGUUUCAUUUACCAUUUCAUUUCAGAUUUUAUAUUGGUACCUUUUGGUAAGAAUACGUUUAAUGCAAUAACGAACUUCUUCUUUCAUUUGA